GAUGAACGCUGGCGGCGUGCCUAAUACAUGCAAGUCGAGCGAACGGACGAGAAGCUUGCUUCUCUGAUGUUAGCGGCGGACGGGUGAGUAACACGUGGAUAACCUACCUAUAAGACUGGGAUAACUUCGGGAAACCGGAGCUAAUACCGGAUAAUAUUUUGAACCGCAUGGUUCAAAAGUGAGAGACGGUGUUGCUGUCACUUAUAGAUGGAUCCGCGCUGCAUUAGCUAGUUGGUAAGGUAACGGCUUACCAAGGGAACGAUGCAUAGCCGACCUGAGAGGGUGAUCGGCCACACUGGAACUGAGACACGGUCCUGACUCCUACGGGAGGCAGCAGUAGGGAAUCUUCCGCAAUGGGCGAAAGCCUGACGGAGCAACGCCGCGUGAGUGGUGAAGGUCUUCGGAUCGUAAAACUCUGUUAUUAGGGAAGAACAUAUGUGUAAGUAACUGUGCACAUCUUGACGGUACCUAAUCAGAAAGCCACGGCUAACUACGUG
rnacentral:rRNA from 1 species